rnacentral:rRNA from 1 species
UACGUAGGGUGCAAGCGUUGUCCGGAAUUAUUGGGCGUAAAGAGCUCGUAGGCGGUCUGUCACGUCGGCUGUGAAAACCCGCGGCUUAACUGCGGGCUUGCAGUUGAUACGGGCAGGCUAGAGUUCGGUAGGGGAGACUGGAAUUCCUGGUGUAGCGGUGAAAUGCGCAGAUAUCAGGAGGAACACCGGUGGCGAAGGCGGGUCUCUGGGCCGAUACUGACGCUGAGGAGCGAAAGCGUGGGGAGCGAACAGG